CACACCUAAUGAUGAGCAAAAUGUUUUUUUCCCCAUACUUACCCAGUGCUGAACUCACACACACAGUUUGGCUUUCACAGGUUAGGGGAUGAUCUGCGUGACUGUGUAGCUGACUUUGGCUUGUAUAAGAAGAUCUAUUCCUAUAGGCAGAAGAAUAUGGAUGUUAACAUGCCUGUAAGGUGGAUGGCCAUAGAGAGUGUCUGACUUCUUAUAUACCACCAAGAGUGAUGUGUGGUCUUUUGGAAUAAACCAUGUGGGAGAUCACAUCCAGAGGGAAGAUACCUUAUCCAGGUAUCUCUGGUCAUAAGCUUCUGGACACCGUCUCAAACAAGGGGACAAUGACCGCAUUAUAUGAGCUUAUAUUGAGCUGCUGGCACAGAGAUCCCUCUUCAGGCCAGGUUUUGGAGAGCUGGGCCAGAGCCUCAAAGCACUUCUGUAUGAGCUUCCACCCCUGGAGGCCAGCAACGAGGCCCACUACAUCAACCUGGGUCUGGAGUCGGCCAGUGAUCACCGGGACAGCGCAGAGACCCUGGAGUCUGAGGUGGAGAAGAGUAAACCACAUAGACCUGCCUAAACCUGCUGGCGGAUUAGGAGGGAGGGCUGUGCUGUGCAUUAAAACUGUAUGUGAGAAUGUAGUCUGCACUAGGCUUUUAAUAGUAGGUUUUUACCAGUUUUAUGAUGAGUUUUUGGUUCAAACAAAUGACAUAAAAGUACACUAUAGAAAAUGUUGCAUAUACAGUGUUUUCAAUGCUAGAAGUACAUAAGAGAGAACUUUUAAUUCUUUGUGAUUCAUAUUUUUAUUUUUCUUCUUUUUUUCUACACUGUAUAUUUUGUAAAAUUGUAUAUCAAAGAAGUCAAAUGUUGGGAGGUUUGGAAAAUGCCAGACAUCACAAUUUAAAAAUAUGAAUGAAUUGCUUUUGAAAUUGUUACUUGUUAUUAAACAGCUCAGGAAAUUUUCAUUGACCUCAAAGCACAGCAUGAUUGUUAUUGUACAAGAAAUUAAUUUUCUUCUGGAAGGGACAACAGACACUACGAGUGAAUAGGGUAUAAAAGCAGAAAAAAAA